ensembl:snoRNA
CACCUCCAGAUCCCUUUCCCAUCAGAUCUGAACACCGAUCUCAUGGUCAAAAAAGGAGGCAGAGUAAAAUGCAAGUUGGUCUCAUUCUCUCUGCUAGAACAGUCCUGCACUGAGAGGGGCUGGCUUGGAACACAG